rnacentral:lncRNA from 1 species
GAAGGGGUGAGGAAAUAGGAAAUACCCAGGCAAAAGGGACAGCAGUGUCAUUAGCAGAAAUAAGCAACAGUGGAUGUGGUUGAGCUUGGCCCGUUCUUCUGAAGAACUACAGUCUGAGGCAGCAAGAAGGACCCCUAAAGGUCACUAAGAGUACAUAGAGAUGGAGAAACUGAGGCUGAGAGAAGCGAGGAGACUCUCCCAAGACUCCAGGAUGCAUCAGCCAAGGAGCAGAGACCAGUGCCCUGAUGUCCGACCUGUUUUCUGUCCACUACGGCAUGGGGUCCUGGCCUCACUAUCUGUCCAUGGGCUCUUUCUCUCCAUUAGAGUCAUGCUGGCACCAGAUGAGCUGCUGCAGACUCAUGAGGAAAGAGUCAAGACAGGCUCUUUGAAACCUCCCUCUCCAGGCAUGCCACGUGAACAGAAGUUCCAGGAGACAGAAGAGAGGGGUGACAAGAAAUUGCCCUGAUCAAACUGCCACAGUGACACACCAUGAAAAACACACAGAGAUUGGCUCUGUGGCAAUGGCAUCAUACCCAGGUCACAGGUGCAAAUUUGGUGCAGCAAAGCAGCAUUAAAUAUUUUGCAUUAA